rnacentral:lncRNA from 1 species
AAAAAUAAAAAGAAGAAGAAGAAGAAAAAAGACAACCCAAAUGAAUUGUGGAGAAGAGUUGGGGUUAGGGUAGAAGAUGUUGAAAAAAAUGCUUCUAGCGCGAUUUUUUUAUUUUUUAAUAAUAGAUGUUUGUUUUAGUCAUUUAGCUUACCUAUAAAAUCUCAAUAGAAACAUAAAAUAAUUGAGGUGUGUAUUAAGAGAUUAGGGGUGUGUAUUUAAAAUUUCUCUU